rnacentral:rRNA from 1 species
CUGUGUGUUGUUGGGUAGGGGAGCGUUCUGUAAGCCUGUGAAGGUGUGUCGUGAGGCAUGCUGGAGGUAUCAGAAGUGCGAAUGCUGACAUAAGUAACGAUAAAGCGGGUGAAAAGCCCGCUCGCCGGAAGACCAAGGGUUCCUGUCCAACGUUAAUCGGGGCAGGGUGAGUCGACCCCUAAGGCGAGGCCGAAAGGCGUAGUCGAUGGGAAACGGGUUAAUAUUCCCGUACUUGGUGUUACUGCGAAGGGGGGACGGAGAAGGCUAUGUUGGCCGGGCGACGGUUGUCCCGGUUUAAGCGUGUAGGUGUGUGUUCCAGGUAAAUCCGGUU